UACGUAGGGUCCGAGCGUUGUCCGGAAUUAUUGGGCGUAAAGAGCUCGUAGGCGGUUUGUCGCGUCUGCUGUGAAAACCUAAGGCUCAACCUUGGGCUUGCAGUGGGUACGGGCAGACUAGAGUGCGGUAGGGGUGACUGGAAUUCCUGGUGUAGCGGUGGAAUGCGCAGAUAUCGGGAGGAACACCGAUGGCGAAGGCAGGUCACUGGGCCGCAACUGACGCUGAGGAGCGAAAGCAUGGGGAGCGAACAGG
rnacentral:rRNA from 1 species